rnacentral:tRNA from 1 species
GCCUCUGUAGCUUAGUUGGUUACAGCGCUGCACCGGAAUCGCAGGGCCGUAGGUUCAACUCCUACCAGAGGAC